GAAUUCGCCCUUAGAGUUUGAUCCUGGCUCAGGAUGAACGCUGGCGGCGUGCUUAACACAUGCAAGUCGAGCGAAGCACUUAAGUUUGAUUCUUCGGAUGAAGACUUUUGUGACUGAGCGGCGGACGGGUGAGUAACGCGUGGGUAACCUGCCUCAUACAGGGGGAUAACAGUUAGAAAUGACUGCUAAUACCGCAUAAGACCACAGGGUCGCAUGACCCGGUGGUAAAAACUCCGGUGGUAUGAGAUGGACCCGCGUCUGAUUAGCUAGUUGGUGGGGUAACGGCUCACCAAGGCGACGAUCAGUAGCCGACCUGAGAGGGUGAACGGCCACAUUGGGACUGAGACACGGCCCAGACUCCUACGGGAGGCAGCAGUGGGGAAUAUUGCACAAUGGGCGAAAGCCUGAUGCAGCAACGCCGCGUGAGGGAAGACGGUUUUCGGAUUGUAAACCUCUGUUUUCGGUGACGAACAAAUGACGGUAACCGAGUAGGAAGCCACGGCUAACUACGUGCCAGCAGCCGCGGUAAUACGUAGGUGGCAAGCGUUAUCCGGAAUUACUGGGUGUAAAGGGAGCGCAGGCGGGAUAGCAAGUCAGCUGUGAAAACUAUGGGCUCAACCCAUAAACUGCAGUUGAAACUGUUAUUCUUGAGUGGAGUAGAGGCAAGCGGAAUUCCGAGUGUAGCGGUGAAAUGCGUAGAUAUUCGGAGGAACACCAGUGGCGAAGGCGGCUUGCUGGGCUCUAACUGACGCUGAGGCUCGAAAGUGUGGGGAGCAAACAGGAUUAGAUACCCUGGUAGUCCACACUGUAAACGAUGAU
rnacentral:rRNA from 1 species